ACGCAGUGUUUUGGGGUGCGGGACUGCAAUGCGUGCACUUCGGGACCCCAGGCUGUUCCCACGGCGACUGACACCUCAGACACGCGUGGGAGGGGCGGCGCGCUGGCUAUGGGGCUGUGCUGAGUGCGCGAGAGCGUGGCCGGCACCCACCUGCUACAGGGCCAGCACUGCACUGGGGUCCUGGAGCGGCUCCUCCCAACGUCUCCGCGGGUUGUCGGGUUGUCGAGUUGGGCUGGGGGACGCUACAGGUAGUGGGUCCCGAGCAGCGGCUGGCCCCUUAUCUCACUGCCCCUCCCCGCAGCUCUGCCUCCUCGGACCUCACCGUCCCUUGGAAGCUCGCUCAGGGCACCUACCGCUGUGACCACCUGGACGCAGAAGCUCAGGAUUGGACUUUGUCAGGAAGGUGGGUCCCUCCUCUCAGCACCUCAAGCUUGUUUCUACCCCGGUCUGAGAGCUGCAGAGGCUGGAGCUGGAGUCCCCACCUGAAGGUGUCUGCUUUCCCACAACAGCAGAGAAGAACCAUGGCCCAGGUGAGUGUGGCAUGUCUUUCUACUGCGCUUUUUCAGCAGGGAUUUCGGAUGCUCAUAAGAACGUGUCUAAUAAAGGCUGGGCGUGGUGGCUCACACUGGUAAUCCCAGCACUGUGGGAGGCCAAAGUGAGCAGAUCACCUGAGAUCAGGAGUUCGAGACUAGCCUGGGCAACGUGGUGAAAUUGCAUUGCAGCCUGGGUGACAGUAAGACUCUGUCUCAAAAAAAAAAAAAAAAAAAAUCUGGUAAAAUGCAAACAGAAGUGAGGAUCAGUGAAAACAGGAAGGAAGGAAGAUCACAGCUGUGGGAAGGACAGGGGGGAGAGACUGGAGAGGCUGCUGCAGCUGUGAGAUGCCUUGUAAAUUUUUGAGACAGAGUUUCACUCCGUCAUCCAGGCUGGAGUACGGUGGCAUAAUCUCGGCUCACUGCAAUCUCUGCCUCCUGGGUUCAAGCAAUUCUCCUGCCUCAGCCUCCGUACAGGCACCUGCCACCACACCCAGCGAAUUUUUGUAGUUUUAGUAAAGAUGAGGUUUCACCAUGUUGGCCAGGCUGGUCUCAAACUCCCGGCCUCAAGUGAUCCACCCACCUUGGCCUCCCAAAGUACUGGGAUUACAGGUGUGAGCCACUGCGCCCAGCCCAAUGCCUGGUAAAUUUGUAUCUGACAUUCCUGUCACUUGAAAAAGGCAGGCAGAUUCCAUCUAAUAUACGACUUGUGUUGUCUGUUUUGGACAACCGUGUCUACUUCUCAGGAGAAAUACGGCUUUUUCAGGCAUUUAAAAAUAUACUUGAUCUUUGUAUGCGAGAUGUAGCAGGCCUGUUCCUCAAUAACCACCACAGCAAAUCUCUUGUGAGUUUCCUCCCCCUCU
rnacentral:lncRNA from 1 species